AUUAGGGAGAAUCCCGCAAUAAUCUGCAAGAAUAUUAAGGGAAAGAGCAGGCCCCAUUAGGGAACAAGGGGAAACCUUUGAAAGGAAUCAGAGGGCAUUGACAGGGUGUUAAAUAAACACUUUACAUUUGUAUUCACUUGGGGCACUUUGGGAAGAGGGACUGUGAAGCCCUUGAGCAGUUUGACAAAUGGAGCAAGGAGGUAUCAGAGGUUUUGGCGGGCUUAAAAGUGGACAAAUCCUCAGGUCCAGAGGAGUUAUAUCCCAGAUUGCUCUGGAAAUAUCCUUGGUCCCCCUUCCAAUUCUCAUCUACAAACUGUGGCAUCGUCCAAAGGCAUAGCAUUAAUUUUCAGAUGAAUGUUGAUGGCACUUUGCUCUACCUUGCUGCCACCUCCCUUGACAGGAAAUUACAGGGGCUAUGACCCAAAUUUUUAACUUCCCACUGGCCACAGCAGAGAUGCCAGAGGAUUGGACGACAGCUAAUGUGGUCCCACUCUUCAAAAAGCUUUGUAGAGAUAGACAGAAUUGCAAACCGGUGAGUGUCUCAUCGUGGUGAGGAAUCUAUUGGAGAAAAUUAUGAAGGAGAGAAUUAAUCUGCAUUUAGGAGUGGCAAGAUUUAAUCAGGAUAGUCGGUAAGGCUUUGUCAGAGGGAGGUCAUCGCUAAUAAAUUUGAUUGAAAUUUUUGAGGAGGUGAUUAGGUGUGUGGAUGAGGGGAGUGUAGAUGAUGUGGUUUAUAUGGAUUUCAGCAAGGUCCCACCAUGGGAGCUUGAUAAAGAAGGUAAGAGCACAUGAGAUCUAGGUUAACUAAGCAAGUUGGAUCCUGAUUUGGCUAGUCGUAGUAGUCAGGGGAUGGUGGUAGAAGGCUGUUUAUGUGACUGGAGGUCCAAGGUGACUGGACUGUCCAGUGGUGUACCACAUAAAUCACUGCUGGGUCUCUCACUGUUGAUGGGAUGGAAAGUGUAAGGGGAUGUUAAGUAAGUUUGUGGAUGGCAUGAAGAUUUACCGGAUGGUUGACAGUGAGGGGGAAGGUUUUAGGUUACAGGAUGAUAUAGACAGACUGUUGAGAUCAGUGGCAGUUGGAAUUCAUCUUAAUAUGGGUUGUGUACUUUUGAAGAAGUAACAAGACAAGGGAGUGCUCAAUGUAUGACAGGACACUAGGAAGCGCAGAGGAACUGAGGGAUUUUGGGAUGCACGUCCACAGACCCCUGAAGGUGGCUGAACAGGCUUAUAGUGCGUUAAGGCAUAGGGGAUAUUGCCUUUACCAACCACGGCACAGAUUGUACGGGCAGGGAGGUUAUGUACAAAAGUUUGGUCAGGCCAGAGCUGGAGCAGUGUGUACAGUUUUGAUCUCUGCACCAUUGGAAGGAUGCAUUUGCACUGGAGGGAGUGCAGAGAAGAUUCAUUAGGAAGUUACCUGGGAUGGAAGUGAGGCUGGGCAGGCCCUUGUUAUAUUCUUUAGAACAGACAAACCUGAGGGUAUCCUGAUAGAGGUACAUAAGAUGAUGAGGGGCAGGGACAGAGGAUUGGAAGCAGCUGUUCCCUUACUGAAGGGUCAAUAAUUAGGAGAGCAGGGGUAAUUUUAAGGUGAGAGGCAGGAGGUUCAGAGGGGAUUUGAGGAAAGGUUUUUCCACCCAGAGGAAGCUGGGGGUCUGGAAUGCACUGCCUGGGAGGGAAAUUGUGGCGGGAAACCUCACAACCUUUAAAAAAGUACUUGCAUGAAUAUUUGUAAUGUCAUCACAUUCAAGGCUAUGAGCCAAGACCUGGAAAGUGGGACUAGAUUUAAAGUGGUUUGUGCUGGUGUAGCCAACUGGAACAAUGGGUCUAUUCUGUAUGGUGUGAUUCUAGUAACAAGAAGGGAUCGCAGGAAGGGUGAUCAGAAACUGGAAAUUGUGAGAACAGCUGGAAUCUUACACUUUUUUUGGCUAGGUUCAGGUUGCAUUGAGUUUUUUGAGGGAACUUCUGCCCCAAGACAUAGUGAAUCCUCUCAUUGUAUUUCCCAAAUUUGUCUCAUUAGCUACCUAACCAGUCCCAGUGGGCCCCCUCACAUGAAAGUCUGUAUUCAGUACAAUACAAGCCUCAACUUAACACACAUCAUUCCUGGAAGUACUCAUCAGUCAAUGGGUAUCCCUGAACACACCAGUAUCACUUGUGGCCCACACCACGUUUAAGAGUCCAUUGCGAACCCAAACAAGCCCUGUUGGAUUAGAACGGCUCUGCAUGGUUCCUGACAUUGCCCUGGAAAUAACAGAGAAGGGGAAAUGAAUGGUCUACUUUGAGGCCAUAGACCUGGAGGUGGUGAAGAGGUGAACUUCUGCCAGGACCACUAAUGAAGACGAUGAUACCAGUCCAUACCAACGUGAUUUGAGAUUGCCACCAGGUUAAAUGCUUUAAGCCGUCUGGAAGAAUGGUCAGCACGAGAGGAAGGUGGUCAAUGCCCUCUGCCUUCUGCCAGGGAAGAACGCAGCCUGUAGUAGGACAGAAAGAAACAAGGUGGGUGGUAGGCUGCUCAACCUUCAGCUCAUCAUCCCAUUUGAGGACAGGAUCCUGACUGCAACUGCCCCAAGAGCUGACCGACCGUAUCCAAGCCCCUGGAUUGGUAGCAGAGGCUACCCUUGACUUACUGCGGCAGAAACCCCGAGCUAAGAUCAUUCACGAGGAAAGAUGCAGAGAGGAGGAUGCUGUUGCCAACACUUUUGAUACAGUUCAGCCUCCGAGCAGCGGGUAAAUGUCCCCCAAGGCAGACGCCGAGAUACACAAUGAUGCAGAAUCACCGAGCAGAAACUGAUAGACAAGUUCCAUGCCUAUGAAAACAGCCUUAACCAUGAUCUUGGGUUCCUGUUGCUCUACAGGUGACCCUACUGUACUGUUCUGUAUUGACAGCAUCACCUUGAUAAAUUGUUAUGAUCUCUCUACCUUAAUUAGUUGGUACAGUUUUGAAUUACUUAUCACACUUUCUCACACACAUGCUCACACACACUCACACUCUCACACACAUUCUCACUUUCACACACAUGCACAUGUACACACACAGUGUUUCACACAAACACACUCACACUCACACAGACCCUCUCUCACACACACUCUCACACACAUACUCUCCUACACACAUAUACUCUCUCACAAGAACACACUGUCUCCCUCUCCAUCCACCACACACAGACACACACACACGUAAAUCUAUGGGGUGAAUCAUUUCAUCCAAGAUGUUUGUUUAUUUGCAGAUGCAUUCUGUUUUGUUCAAAAAACACACAAUUUGUAGUCACAGUCGUCAGUGUGGCAUCUUAUCAAUUUCAGCAUUUGGAAUAAAACCAGCCUGAUUCUAGGCAAAAACUCUGAGACAGAUUCUGAACAAAGCUUCACACCUAAACUGCCUGACCUGAGAUGUCACCUUUUGUAUAUUCCAAUCACAUUGCCUGAUUGUCAUGACAGCACAGCUCUGACAUUGACUUUAUAAACACUUUACUCACGCUCUAACACUCUGGGUCACCUGCAGAGUCUUAUUAUCUGACACUCCACUCACACUGGUUAUAUGAUCUUUUGAACAAAAACAGAAGUUGCUGAAAAAGUUCAGCAGCAUCAGUGAAGAAAAAAAAUCAGAAUUAAUGUUGUGGGUCUGGUGAUGCUUCCUCAGAACUCAGUUGUAUGAUCUUUUGAUCUGUGCCCUUGAAUUCCCUGCCUAUGAACUCUGUGCCUGUGCGCUCUCCCCUCUCAGUGCACCUGACGUAGGGCUGUGCUCCAAAAGCUUGUGUGAUUUCAAAUAAAUUUAUUGGACUAUAAUCUGGGGUUGUGUGACCUCUGACUUUCGAAACAGUUCUACAGAUUACUGCGGGUUGUCCACAGUAUGAAAUUCGGGGAGUUAGGUGAACACAGGAUAUUAAAUGUUAUGAAUGCUGAACUCUUUAUAAUGCUUACUGGAGAUCUGCAUUGCCACAACUUUAACUUUUAUUUGUAGUUUCUUUCAAUUGUUAGUUAAUAGUAACAAAAUGCCUGUCAGUUAAAUAGUUAAUUAAUUAGAUGGGUAGAGGAAGUGAUUGCUGUCAACAGAUUGACUCAUGCCUUUGGAAUUUUUGCUGGUAUGAAACCUGGAGGCUUUGCAAAUGCAUACAGUAUGGUUCUACAGAGCACUGUUUCUACAGAUUAUUAUACACUGAAGAAAUAAGCCAAGAGGUACUGCCCAAUGCGUUUUUCAAAACUGUGGUCUGAAAAAUGGAGCAUGGAAUCAGCAAGACCUGAUACCUAAAGUCUAGAAAUGUUAAUUAAAAUUGUUUAA